rnacentral:miRNA from 1 species
UCUGCUUCCUCCUCCUGCAGC